rnacentral:rRNA from 1 species
UACAGAGGGGGCAAGCGUUGUUCGGAAUUACUGGGCGUAAAGGGCGCGUAGGCGGCCUGUUAAGUCGGACGUGAAAUCCCUCGGCUUAACCGGGGAACUGCGUCUGAUACUGGAUGGCUUGAGUUUGGGAGAGGGAUGCGGAAUUCCAGGUGUAGCGGUGAAAUGCGUAGAUAUCUGGAGGAACACCGGUGGCGAAGGCGGCAUCCUGGACCAACACUGACGCUGAGUGAGCGAAAGCCAGGGGAGCAAACGGG